UCAAAGUGAACGCACACACCCAUAUUUUUAUUUUUUUUAAAGCGUGCGCUCACGCACACAAAUAAACAUUCGAUCCUUUCGUGGAAUAAAAUCAUUCAGUGCUAAAAAUUUUAUUUGUCGCCGUUCUUUCUUCCGCGACAGCAAGUGCUGUUCGUCUCCGGAUUGAAGAAAUCAUUCAAAGCGGGACUCAAAGUGAAACAGCAGAAGCACGAAUAUUUCCACCGUGGGAAUUCCUGUGUUUCCUGCCUUCCGUAUUAAACAUCCAGAGGACCAUUCGACGAAUGGAGAAUCACACCACUCGAAUCAAUCGACAGGUGCCAUCUCGGCUGAGCUGGAAACCUAGUUCAGUAGCAACAGCUGCUGUUUCAGCAGAAGUUGAAAAUUCAUCAGUGUCACUUCUCUGCAAUACACUCAGCAGCAGCAACCACAAAAGCAAAAAAAAAGAUACAUCCGCAACAAUGGAAUACGCAGCCAAAUUACCCUCGUCUUACCACAGUCAGCUAGAGAUAGUUCCGGAAGGAGAGAUAUCACAGCUGUCCGGCAGGAAUCGGCUUCCGUCGCUGUCCGCAGGUUGAACAAAUUAUCACCAUCCCCGUUCCUAGAUUCAAUAUUCAGUAUAUGACAAGUGGCAAUGUUGCUGAAAAUCUGCUGCGAUAAAACGAUGGCUACGACACCUAUUAGACGGAGUCCAACCUUUGAUUCCAUCGGAAAAUAUAGCAAGGUCGAAGACUGGAUUCGAGGAAGGUAUGAUGCUUAAGUUGCUUAUCUGCUAAACCAUUCGUCGUCCUGAGUAGCAACGGAUACUUCGGUACUCAAGUUUUCGUACAUCAUAAUCUACAUCGUUCGUACUAUGUGUUGUGGAUAAGCCUGUCAUCGAACACGUCAUCGACAAGCUGUUCAAUCUCACUGAAAGUCGGCGAGGGUGUCAGCUGUCUUGAAUCGCUACGUGUUGCCUGUGUCCGAUGAUGACCAAAUCGCUGGCAGCUUCCAUUUAUUUCAUUUCGAGUUGACGCUGAAAGUUGUCUACAUUCUAUUCCGGUGAAAUAGAUUCAAAAAGAAAAGUGUCAGUGCGUGGAAAGUCGAUUGUUGGUGCCUUAACGAUUGUUGCUGCGUAUAAGGUUUAUGUACAACAUGAACACUUUACGUGGUUAUUUGAAAAAGUCAGUAUCUGAAGCCAAGCCGUCUUUUGAAAAAAUCGACGACAAUAAAACUCAGAUUGGGCUGGAAAACGAUCAAAAGAAACAGGAUGUAAACAAACGUAAGAAACGUCGUAGUUGAGCUGCCUAUAGCUCUCUGGAUGACAGCAAAACAUUAAACCAAGAUUCGAAAACAACGGAUUGCAUUAUAUAUCUAAAAUUUAUAUGAUUUGAAGUAAUAGGCAUCUCUUAAAAAAAUUAUAGUUCUUGGGUACAUUUUGAACUAUACACCACUGUACAAGCUAUAAGACAGAAAUAGCUCAGAUCCCCACUCACAAUUCAACAAAAUAAUUUCCGCGUUUAAUGAUAAAAUAUGCUAAUAAUUGAAAUUCAUAUCUCGUGGAUGUAGUUGUGUGCUUAUUUGUAUGGAGUUUGUGUUGCGAACCAUAAAAAACAACGUUGAUUUAGAAUUAAAAUCUUGAAUUCACAAUUAUGAAUGCAAUUUCAAAUUUUCGAUUCUUAAUGUACAUAUUUACAAACUAAGAUUUACACUCAUAAUUAUAUUUUGUCUUCCACAUUUGUGAAAUAUUUAAAUAUCAUUUUCAAAAUACAAACUUUAACUACUUGGUAGAACGGUCGCUGCUAUAAAAUAUAUUUUCUGAUUUAUUUUGAAUAAAUUAUCCUUCCGAAUUUUGGUUUUCUUGAUCACACUGUAAUACAUAACAGCAUAUAGGUACACGCUCAUUUUUAUUUAACCAUAUAUGGUUAUACCAAUUUUCUGGUUUUUUCUCAAAAACUAUCAAUAUUGUUUUUUUAAAGAUUAUUUCUUUGCGAAAUUUUAACCAUUUUGGCAGUUCUCGUGUAUUAACCACAAAAUGGUUGAAACAUUUCUUCGCCAUUUUGGAUUUAACCGUGGAGCAAACCGAACGCGUUUAUUAAAAUUUGUAUUUUUUUCGCACGAAUAAAAUGUUUCAUAGUAGUAUAGUAAAUCUGUUCCUGCGAUUCGGAUGAAGCUGGGGCUGGUCGGUCGGCGUCUCUGCUGGAAUUGCGGUCGAUAUCGCUGUCUCAGGAAACUCCCGGUUCAUUCAGUACUAGAAGCAAAAAACUUGGAUUGCCUGUCAAAAUUAUUUUGCCAAUUUUUUGGUAAAUUUUGGCUAUAUCCGUCGGUGAAAAUCAGUCAAAAAUGGGAAAUAAGCCACUCCGAAAAGCUCCGGUCGGAAGAAAUCAGCAUCAUGGGAAUGGCACAGCAAAUGGUCCACAUCAAGCGGGAAGUGAACAAAACUGCCUGUAAGUCGCUGUCCGUGAAUCGGAAAACAGAACUCUGAUCAAUCAUGGUCGGCUGAUUCUGGGUUCCGGCACCGGGGCAAGUAUAUCGCUCAGAAGGGAUAAUGCACAUGUUAUCCAAGCUGGGAUUGUCGUCAACAUCGUCAACAGCAUAAUGAAAGAGGAACAGGAACAAGCUAAAGUUCGCAAGUUAGUCGAACUACAACAAAUAACUUUAUUGGUGACGCCAUCUGUUCCGCCUAUGCCUUCUGCAGAAAUGUUAGCUAGCGGUGGCUCCAGUCCAUCGCAUGAAGUUCAGGAAUUUUUAUCGCUCAAAGAAAACGACUGUCUUAAUGAGCACUAUGAUUCCGACAAUAUCCUUUUGGAAGAUACCGAUGAGAUUGCUGGUGAUGAUGACGAGUUGAAUGAUCUGGAAAACGAAAUCAUCGACGACGAAGAAACACGGUAAAAUUUCAAAAACAUAGACGACGAUGACAAUGAAUCUCCUAGCAGUAGAACCAUUGAAUGGCCGAAGGUUCCCGGAGUGCCGCUUCCUCCGUUGAAAGAUCUUCCACAGCCUUCCAUGCUUCCCAGCAUUGCUGUUGUACAAUCGAACAAACAGAUGGACGAACUAACUCAAAAAAUGGAUCGGCUGUUAGACGUAGCAGAAUUCCUCGACAAAUAACUGAACUGCGUUCGCAAGUGUCCGAUCUACAAAAAAUACGUACAGAUAAUUCGAAGUUACUCAAUGAUACUCUACGGGAGAUCGAAUCCAACAUUAUCGAGCAGACCAGUUCGGAGAAGCGCACUUUGUCCGAUAUUCAUAGUGAGAAAAUCGGAACUAUGUACAGCAAACAUUUCAGCAGCUUAAACUUUACUAUCAUGAAUUCACUAGAACCGAGAUUGACGCUCCAGAUUGUCAACCGAAUCGGGAGCAGUUGCAGCAAAAAUUCGAUUGUGCCCUCCAAGAGGGUGUACAAAAACUAUGCGUAAUCAGGUAACUAUUGAUGCUAUCGGUAAUUCCGUCUAUAAGAGUGUUCGAAAAGCAAUGGAAACAUCAUUUCAUGAAGCGUUACGAAACAUCAUUUUACCGAAUUAUGAGUGAUGCUCACAAGAACUGUUUUGGCAGCUCAAUAAAGAAUUUUCAGCAGGGUUAAAAGAAUACCUCGAUAAAACGGAAACGUAUUUAUCAUGCAGAAAACUGAACGAAGAGUUUGAAGCCGCGCUAAAAAAAACCGUUCAAUAAACUGGGCAGAACUUAACUGUCAAUGAUCUAUUCCAACCCGCCAAUGUUGCAGCCUAGCGUAAAGAUCUAAGCAAUGAUUCGAAUGAUUUCCAAGGCAAUUAGCUUAAAAUGAUUUGGGAAAACGUAAGGGCGGAAAUCGAUAAGGGUUUGGAGGCCCAAGCCUCUUCUCUAGAGGACUCAGUAUUGUCAGCGGUGCGGUCGCAAGCACAAACUCCAGCGCCCGCUUUUUUGGGUCAUCCCGAACACAUCCGGCAACUGCUAGCCACAGGGCGCAUAAACGAUGCAUUCGUUAUAGCUCUUCAGUCCAACGAUUUGAAACUAUAGUGUGAUUCACAAUAAAGCACGCCAAUUACAAACAGGUGUUCAAUCCAUGUGCUCUAGAACAACGGAUACUGCUGUCACUGAUUCAGCAGAUUGCAGCCGACAUGUCCAAUAUUAACGACCUUAAGCACAGGUUUCUCUCUGACGCCAUCGUUAAUCUGACCUUCUUCGACCACAUUAUGAAUGAACACAUUCAUAAGGUCCUGCAGGAGGUAGCUCGUAACAUACAGGCAUUUUUGUCAAUGAAUCCCGAACACGUACUUGCUACCAGACUUAAGUUAUUAAUGAUUGCCAUCCAAGGCUGUAAAUAUGCCUGAUCUUUGUGGAGGCAACACCAGUAAAAGGUUCGCGAGGACCUGGUAAUGUUGAGCCGGCAGUUUGAAGAAAAAUAAAUAAGCUGCUUUUAAACCCGCAUCUUUUUUCUUUUUCCAGUUGAAAACAUCCCAAUUCUAGUAUUUUAAAGAAAAAAAAUUACCUGUUUUCCUUCCAUUCUGCGAUAUGGUUUAAAAUAAACCGUUUUUUCAACUUCUCCGCAAUAAUUUCUUGCGGUUAAAAAGUAACCAUAUUUCCACUUCUCAAAAGAAGUCAAAAAAUGAUUUCUAUGGAAGCAGUCAAAAAAUCCCUUAACGCGGAAGGGUGUGAAAAUGGUUACUUUUUAACGAUAAUUGGUUAAAGAAUUUCGAGCGUGUUGGCGUUGUGUUGACUGGCUUCAGGCUGGCAGCCUCCAUUUAUUUCAUUUCGAAUUGGCGCUGAAAGUUGUCUACAUUCUAUUCCUGUAAAAAACGGUGAAAUAGAUUCAAAAAGAAAAGUGUCAGUGCGUGAAAAGUCGAUUGUUGGUGCCUUAACGAUUGUUGCUGCGUAUAAGGUGUAUGUACAACAUGAACACUCUACGCGGUUAUUUGAAAAAGGCAGUAUCUGAAGCUGAGCCGUCUUUUGUAAAAAUAGACGACAAUAAAACUCAGACUGGGCCAGAAAACGGUCAAAAGAAACAGGAUGUAAAUAAACGUAAGAAACGGCGUAGUCGAGCUGCCAAUAGCUCUCUGGAUGACAGCAAAACAUUAAAUCAAGAUUUGAAAACAACAAAAACACCUAAAAAGAAAAAAAGAAAUGUUUCAAUUGAUUCGAUCCCGGAUGAGUUUUGGGAAAUAACUUUUACGCAAGAACAAACACAAUGAAUAUCGUUCUUAUCAAUUAAAAUUCGCUUAAUUUUAAUCAAAAUCAAUGUACCCGAACGACCCGGGUGGUUAAAAGGUCUCUUAUAAAUAAUAAUAAUAAUGUUAAGAGUAAAGAUGCGAGUUGAGAAUAAAUUAUAAUAAAAAUGACAAUGAUUAUACAAAUCAAUAUUUUUACCCCACUUUUAAAGAAAAUAUUCCAAUUAAAAAUUCGUAUUCAUAUUCAGACAACAAUGUACACACGAAGGCUCUACAUUACGGCUUUUCGAUCCAUUGCUUCCUAAAUAUGCAAAUUUAAGGCGAGAAUUCGU